UGUUGUAUGGAAACCAAUUUGACAAUAAAUUUCAUAUAUUAAAAAAAGAAAAAUAUUUUUAAUAAAAAUUGAAAAUAAAAAUGAUUUUUUUCUCUUUCUGUGCUUAAGAAAAAAAAAAGAAAUGAAAUGGAAAAAAAAGAGAGAAAAUUGAAUAGAUGGACCAGCGAACAGACUGAAAUACGAUUGAAAUUACAUUGUUUUCCCCGAGAAGUCAAACUGUGAAGCACUUUAUAGUCCACAAACUAAGCAGGCAGAGAGAGUUGUGUUCAUGAAGAGCGAGGUUGACCCAGCUGGGCGCGGCUUAGUGUGAUGAUUCCGUUCUCCACUAGAUGGCGCUGCUUAUCUUACUGGGGUGGUUUUGUUGUGGCGCUUGUAGGUGUCUAUGCGCAUGCGCCCGAGGGAUGAAAAUGGCGACACCCAGCUACCCAGUCUCUAGUAUCUCUGUCCUCCCCGAUCGGUGAUCAUACACCUGUCUUUUGUCUCCGGCUUCCAGUCACUCCCCACUUUUACACUCUCCGCGACCAAGCCAUCAGGUUGCCAGGCAGCACCUCCCUCCUGAGUUUUAUCUCAGAUGCGGCUAUGUUUCCCGACCCCUUACUUCUGAGGGACCACGGCUUUGAAACACUCAGACCUUCUGGGGGAGGGUCUCACCGAGCAAAGGCCAGGUGCAGGCUGCACUCAGGAACAUUUACGGGACCAUGCUGCUGCCGACGCCCAGAGACUAAGGCUGGGUGCCAGCCCGCCCCAGAAAAAGUUCAUGUGAUUGUGUAGCAGCAGCAUUUCAGGGAUUAUGGAAAAUCACAACACACAUCUGGCACCAGUCUUCACCCUUAACGACCUUCUUCCAGCACCAGCGAAUGCGGCCAUUCUCUGGGGUCUGCUGGGACCGGGUGGCCACACAGCUUCUACCAAAUGUCCUUCCAGCAGGGGAACCUUGUCUCCCAUGUGGCCCAAAGACCUCCGGACUUCACUCUGCUCCUGGGGAUUCACCCUUCUCACCAGAGCACUGCCAGUUUUUGUUUAGGAUUUGCCUACCCACAUGAGAACAUUAGCUUGAUGAGGGCAGGGACCGUGCCUUGUUCAUUACUGAACACCCAGUUCCUGCAACAGUGCCUAGCACAUAGUGGCUGGCCAAGGGGUACAGGAAAAAAUGAAUGAAAGAGCAAAUGGCCAUAGCGUGUGUGCAGAGCCAUAAGAAGACUGGCCUAUUUGGAAAGAAGGAUGUCUCCUUGAGGACUGGGGGGCUCUCCAACAGAUGAGCAGAGGAGCACCUACAAGGGCCUGCAGGAGAUUCAAACCAUGUGGCGAGUGAACCUAGCUGAACAAGGUAUGGAAGCCACUGACAACUGCAAAGUAGACCCUGUAGAGAUUGCGAUAGGGGACUUGAAUUUGAAAUUAAACUAAAGCACAGACAAAUAAAAUUGUUCCCCACUGUGCUUGGUCAGCCAACAGUUAUACUUAAAAAAGAAAAAGGAGGGUCGCCUGGGUGGUUCAGUUGGUUAAGCAUCCGACUCUUGAUUUCAGCUCUGGCCAUGAUCUCACGUUUCAUGGGAUUGAGCACCAUGUUGGAUUCUGUGCUGACAGCACAGAGCAUGCUUGGAAUUCUCUCUCCUGUCUCUCUGCCCCUCUUCCCACUCACACAUGCAUUCGCUCUCUCUCUCUCUCUC